AACUUUAUUUAUACUAAUAAAUAGGGUAGGAUAAGUAUCAGGUAAGAGAUAACAAUUUGUAAAGUUGAUCGUCUAUUGUUACCCUAUUCUCUGAUCGUUCUCAUCAUGUUAUCGCCGCCACCGCCACCGCCACCGCCACCACAAUCGCCUCUGCUGUGCCAAUACGGAGGAUCCUCAAGUGAAUCAGAUUGUCCGCAGAGACAAUCCUCAAGCGAAUCGGAUUAUCCGUCGUCGUUGAAGAAACAAAAAGUGGAUGAAGAAGAUGGAGAAUCCAGCGAUUGCGAAAGUGAGCAACCUUUAUCAUACUCUCUUUCAGAUACAAGCGAAAACGACUUGGAUAUCCAAGAAGCAAUUGAAGAGUUAUAUUGCCCUGUCGGUCCCGGUGAAAAAAAGGCGGAUAAAGCUGUUUGGGAUAGGUACUUCGACCAGAUCCGUGAGAGUGAGGGAUUUGACAUUAAGGAUUAUCCCGGUUCGUGUCCACUAACUAGCAUUUACCCCAUGACUAACUACUUAGACACUCCUGCCAAUGUUGAAAUGUUGAAGGAUUAUUGUGCAAAGGCACUUGAGCAUUACAAUACGGACAAUGGCACCAAAUAUGAGGUCGACCGUAUUGUCAAGGUUAAUGAAGGUGGAUGUCAAGGCUUCGUUUACUAUAUUACCUUUACGGUCAAAAAUGGCGACAGUGAAUAUUUUCAAGCUAAGGUGGUGGAACAUAUAAAUAAGAAUAAGCCUUUGGAGUUCCCAAUUGUUAGGCCAAGGGUGAAGGGAGGUUUGGACAUAUAGUGAUGUGAAGUCUGUGCAUCCUUUUGGCUUUGUGUUAACAACUCUUGUCAAUGUUGGACAUCAUUACUAACUACAUUUAAUUGGGUCGGCAAAAAAGUUCUUCUUGACAUUCAAAAGCAGGGAUCUUGUUGUUGUUGCUGGGCAUUUGCCUGUACUGGAUCAAUAACGGCGCUGGAUGCCAUUAUAAGAAAAAGAGAGGUCAUUCCACUCUCAAAACAACAAUUGUUGGAUUGCAUGUUCAAGCAUUAUCCAAUGCCUGAGCUAGAGGCAAAGUUGGAAAGAAGGGAAUGCUUCGGAUUGUCUCGUAGGAUGGCUUACAUAUUUGCCAAGGAACAGGGCAUAGUGGAAGAAUCGAAAUAUCAUUACAUCAUGGAGAGGAGUAAGUGCAAAUGUCCACGUGAUGCGGUAGAAUGGAAAUGCUACUAUAGAGAAGUAAAAUAUAACAUGGAAAAUCUAUUCCGGAGAAAAUCAGGCCAUUCUAUCGAAAUGACGUUACAAGGAAUGGCUGUUAUAACAAGGUUUGACAGUACUCGGAACACAUGUUGCUGUUUCCACAACAAAAGAUGAACACUUAACAAAAAUGUCCUAGAAACAUAUGGUUACCUUGCUUAGGGAUUCGCAGGCAUAAAACCAACAUGAAGCCAAUAAAUAUAUAUUAGAGCCAAUUGAUAGAAUGCCACAAAGAUACAAUAAAUGAUACAAUGACUCAUCAUGCUUGAAAGUUGAAACAUAAGGCUUGAUACAUAGUUUAUGCCUGAGCUUGUAACCAAAUGCCUUUUACACACCUCUCCUUUUCGGAGAACCUUUGACACACUAAACGUUUCACAAAAUGUGUCUAAUACACACCAAUUUUGCUAAAAUCUACUAAAAUAUUAUUAAGGCGUAAACACGGCAUGCCGAGUGAAAUUUCAUGUAAAUUUUUGCGGCUCAAUACUAGUACUGUAUUUCUAAAUAAGUCCUCUUUUCUUCUUUGACAAUUCCUACCAAUAUACUUCUUGUCUCUUUCUCUACUGUAAAGCACCAAGCUGGACUUAUUCACUUUAUCGUUAACAAGAUUCCACUGCAAUACCAAUGCAAAAGCUCAUUAUUACUACAACAAGGAGCUUGUAAAAUUAAACUCCAACUUCUCUUUUGUUUGAAAUCACAAAUUCAGCAAAUGGGUGUUUAUUUCCUCUCCAUUUCCUUUCAUCUGUUUCUUGCAUUUCUUGUAUCAACCCCUUUGUGAAAGUUCUUUGUUUCCUCUGUUUCUUGCAUUCAUUGCCAUUUUCAUGCAACUCGGCCAGCACUUCUUCACCAUUUUUUAUCUAGAUUGUAAUGUUUUGAAAAGUUGGUGGAAACAUCCUUUCUGAAGCUUGCUCCAUGGAUAGCAGUGGAGAUGAAGGUGAAUUUAAGGCAAGGGAGGAGUAAAAAUGGGUCUUUUAACCCUUGUGGAGUCCAAAUAGGUGUUGGGCUUUGUUGACUCCACAGAUAGACCGCUGAUAUGAUAUUUUUUUUUUAUGCAGAAUAUUGUGAAGAUAGAUGGACAUAAGGAAAUAGACAUGGAAAAGACAAGUAACAAGGCAAUAAAACAAUGCAUAAAAAAGCAGCCUUUAACAUGUUUUGUUAGGUCCUAUCCUAGUUUUAAAAAACACGUUGGAGAGGAAAUUUACAUGGGACCCACCGAGGAAGAAACAAGAAUCGCAACGUCUGGUGAUGAAAACAAAAAGGCAGUGCUUCAUGCAUUGAUUAUUGUGGGAUAUGGGGAAGUAAAUGGAGAAGCAUUCUACUUGGUCCAAAAUUCCUGGGGCUACAAAGGCUUCGCUAAAAUCAAGCAAUCACUUGCAAUGAACUUAUCGUAUCCUUUUAUAGAUGAGGAGAAAAAAGAAUGAGUAAGUUGACUAGAAUGUUUUGGCCAAAGUACUAGUGAUUUACGUCCUGCAUAACUCUAUUUUAUGAGAGUAGGUUGAUUUGAAUUUUUUACUGAGUACUAGUGAUUGACGUCCCACACGGAACUCUAUUUUAUGAGAGUCCAUUACCUUUUAUUUUUUCUAUCUAGCUGCUUACGUUGGAAUGUAUGCUUUUACAUUUAUAAGUUUUCCAAAGUAGUUGGCAUUGCCGCAAACUUCACUUUAUUGUGCCGUUUGGAGUGAAACAUAUAUAUAUAUAUUGCAAAUAAGAAAGGAAAACAUACUAGAGUAAAUGGUGUGAUUUCUUCCAACGCCUAUACUCUCUAGUCUCACUUCCAUUUGCUAAAGAGAAAAUCAGAUUGAAAUCAUUUGCCAAUGUGAAGAAAUUUGUUUCAGAAUGUCAACAAAUGAAAGAUUCAAAUUUUGAAACCUGCCGGAUUGAUCCGUCCCUUACCUAUUCCAGAUGUCAUUUUUUAGGAUAUUUCGAUGGAUUUUAUCACAGGUCUUCCACCAUCUCAUGGGCGCACUGUUAUCUGAUUGUCCAAAUACGGUCACCUUAUUGCCUUGCCUACCACUUUUACUAGCCAAAAAACUGCCGGGGUCUUUGUUAAGGAAUUUAUUCGACUUCAUGAUUCUCCUGUUACUAUUGUGUCUGAUCGUGACCCGUUGUUUCUAUCAGAAAUUUUGGAAUGAACUUCAUAAACUCCAGGGUACACAACUUGCCAUGAGUUCAGCCUAUCAUCCCCAAUCUGAUGGUCAGACUGAGGUGCUAAACAAAUGCUUGGAGAUGUAUCUCCGCUGUUUUGCAACUGACACGCCUUCUACUUGGUUUUCUUUGUUGCCAUGGGCAGAGUUCUGGUAUAAUACUUCAUGCCAACACAGCUCCUAGAUGACGCCAUUUGAGGUAGUUUAUGGCCGUCCUCCACCUACGGUGGUGAGGUAUCUUAAGGAUGGGAAAUCUAACUCUGCUGUUGCUACUUCUUUAUGUCAACGUGAUGAAACAUUAGCUGUUUUAAAGGACAAUUUGUUACAAGCUCAAGUGAGAAUGAAAGCUACAGCAGACAAAAGUCGUAGAGAAGUUUCAUUUGCCAUUGGUGAUUGGGUGCAUAUGCGACUUCGACCCUAUCGUCAGCUCUCUUUACACUUGCAGCGUCACACAAAGGAGUUGGUGAAGUCGCUUACAAGUUGGAUGUUCCCCAACUUCCAAAAUCCAUCCUGUAUUUCAUGUCUCCGUUCUUCGUAAAUGUUUAGGCUCUCCUUCUCAACAGAUUACUCCAGUUCAGCUUUUGGAUCAAUCAUCUUCUUUGGUUCUGCUCCCUGAAGAUGUCAUCCAAACCAGGAUCAUUUCGAGGGGUGGUCAACAAGUCCAUCAAUGCCUUAUCAAGUGGACGGGUCUUCCAUCAACAGACGCUUCAUGGGAAGAUACUCAUACACUGCUGCAACAAUUUCCAGAUUAGAACCUCGGGACAAGGUUCGUCUUCAUGGGGGUGGCAUUGUAACAAGCAUAGAGGACAAGUCAGCGGCUCCCUAGAUGCAGUACCAGGGAUAAGAAACGGCCCAAGCACCUAGACCAAUAUGUGGUCCCAAAUCCCAAAAGAAUGUCCUCCGUGCCAAGCUAUUAGAAGAAAGGCCAAAAAGCACCAGAAGACACAAAUAGACCAAGUAUCACUAGACUUCAGUAUGGAGGAACUUGCUUUUUUAUUUUUCUUAAUAACUUUAUAGAUCUGGAACUUUAUAUUUGCUA